CCACCACCAAAAGCACGGAGUGGCGCCGUUCUCUGUGGGGUGUGUUCCCUUCUGUGCGCAGAAAGCUCCGCGACGAGAGCGGUGCUUGCCCGGGGUUAAACACUGACCGUCUCCCGUCGCUCCCCUCAUGCAGGGACUCAGCCAGGACCAGAGAGAUUCCUCGUGGGAACAACUUAGCCUUCCCAUCCGAGGGGACUCUGUGGUGCAACCUUAAGUUCCCAUCUAGCUUGUUUGUUUCUCUGUGUUUUGGAGAUAUCCUUUGUCACCACAUGCUGCACCCCUGCCCAGCCCACAGUGCAAAACAGGUCUGCCACAGCCCUGCUCUCCUUCUGUUGGGCUGGUAGGGCUUAAUGUUGCACUCUGGACGUUGCUGGCUGCAGCUCCCACUGCACGGGACGCAGGAAAGGCUAGGAUAUUGGUGCAAAGUGUGUCACGUACGGGCCGUUUCUUCAGGUUUUAGCAGCUGGGUUACCAGCCUGUGAUAGAUUUGCUGUGGGAUACAGCUGAGCAGAGGAUGGGAAUACUUAGUGCAGGUCCUGGAUAAAAAAAAAAUACACUUCCUCCUUAAAAAGAAAAAGAAAACAAAAGACAGUUUGCCUUGGAUACAGGUACCAACCCAUCCCAACAGGAUGUGCCCUCCCUCAUGUGUUGCUUUACUUGUGGUGGAAUAUGAGUAAGGUAUUUUUUAUUUUGAAAGUUUAUUAAGUGUGUGGCAUACUACUGCAGCAGAACUAGUAAGCUCUUUUCUGGCCCUGUGGUUGCAUCCCCUUUGCUCAACUUUAGUUGCACCACAGCAAGCCACCUCCUGUCUAGGUCUUUCCAGACCUGAUAGGUUUUGUCUGCAGGAAACACUUCGAAUGCUGCUCUCCCUGCUUCUUCCCCCUCCUGUUAGAUGCCAUAAGCAUUCCUUUUUUUCCUUUGGUAGCAUCACUAGAGGAGCCAGGAUGCCUGUGGGUGAAAAGCAGCACUGUGAAGGCUUGGUGGUUUCCGUUGGCUUCCAUAUUUUCUUCCAGCUUUCUCCAGCUGGUCCCUGCUGCCCUUGUGUCCGUGUGCCCUGUGGCUGACAGACACAGCUGGUACCUGUGCCCUGUGCUGCUUCGGGGAAGUGCAGCUGCUGCCAAUGGCAAGGGAGAGUAGGAAUUCCUCAUCAGCCAAGGCACCUUGCUCUACAACUGGCUGCAUGGCAGGAUAAAAUGAGAAGCCCAGACCACCUUCAAAGUCCAACUUCUGAAUGCCCCACCUCAGCCAAACAUCAUGUGGCUCUUGCAGAAGCCAGUGCAAGCAAAGGCAGGGAAUAACCCACACAAAUAAUAAAUUCUUAGAGUCCAACAGUUUUCUAAAGGCAAGUGUGGGUGGGUAAACCCUUUCUAAACUAGGAGAGGUCUGUCCCUUCUCAGGUGCCAUCUGUGGCCACUUGUCUCCUGCUGUGCUCACAGUCACUUGACUUGACAGGCUUAGGCAUACAGCAGUUUGAAGUCCAAAAUGUUGCUGUAGGAUUGUUGCAUGGAUGCCUGAAAUAACUGGACAGUAAUAUAAUUUAUGUAAUUGUGCUUGAUUCUAAGACUGUAGAAAUUACUAUCAUGACUGCACAUAAUAAAAAUGGUUUUCCGCUCUAAACGGGGAAAAAAAUCUACACCCCCAGAAAACACACCCUGUUUUCUCAUUAGUUUUGUAUUUUGUUUUUUAAACUGUGGAAUGUCUCAUUGUUUAGCUCAACAAUGCUGUAGCUGUCCCAUGUACAUAGUCACUCAACCAUAGGGGCCUCAGCUUCUCAUGUGCCCUCACUCCCACCCUUCCUCACAAGCACAAAUGCAACGUGCUUCUCUCCCCCAGGCUGCCAGAGAGUGGAUGUUAAAAAUAUGCAAGUUGACUGUGGCGAAGUUGAAAAUCACGUGAAUUUCAUGCUUCAGCAGACUGCUGUAUGAUGUGUCAUACCCAGGAGUCACUGGAUAGGAUGGUGGCCAAUAGGUAGCUCUUUGCAAAUGUGGGCUGGCAGAGAACCAGGAAGCACUGAAAGACACUCAGGCAUGCAAUGGAGAGUGGGGAAACAUGAAAAUAAAAGGGAAAAAGAAGAGGAAGAACAAAGGAAAUGGAAAAGGAAAAAAAAAAAAAAAAAGAAGGAAACUAGAUCCAGUUAGCUUGUGCUAACUUCUGCAAGUUAACCCAUGAGCAUAUCUAAGACAAACUUCUGUCUCCUAAAACCACUCUUAAGUCUCCUGACCACUCAAAUGUGUCAUUCAGUAAAAGGCACAGCUGCAAGGAAAAUAAUACUACAGCUAGAUGGUCAGUCAUGUCCAACAUUAAGAAAUGGUGCAUCCACUUGCAGAAAUGAGGAAGCUGCUAGAGCAACAACUCCAGCCAUAGCAGCGUCACAUUUUACCACAGGAAAGCCAGGUUAUUUGCCAGUGUCUUCCAAUGGAAAUUGAGAGUCACAGACUCUGGCCCUGACACUGCAACAGAGCAGCAGCAACCUUCAAUUGUACUUUCCCUUUCCUUCCAGCCUGCCCUUCUGGAAGAUUUAGCUUUUAAAGGUGCAAUAAAUGUUUAAUAACGGGA